AAGCAGAUCGCGCUGGGGAAAGGCCACGUCGCUAUGCGUGUGUUUCAGUCUACCUGGAUUAAACGUUUGCUUCUCUUCGUCUACCUUGAUUAAACGUGCACUUCGCAGUCCUCGGUUCUCCAUACCCGUGACCUGGGGAUCGCUACGGACCUUAAAAUACCCGCAACAGCCCCUUCGUCCCAAAUUUGACUUUUAAAGAAUUAAUUAUAUUGACUGAGAGAGAGGCCCAGGAGAGAAAGAAGAAAGAAAAGGAGCCAGGGAUGGCUCUUCCUCAGGGAUCUUUGACAUUCAGGGAUGUAGCCAUAGAAUUCUCUCAGGAGGAGUGGAAAUGCCUGGACCCUGUUCAGAAAGCUUUGUACAGGGACGUGAUGUUGGAGAACUACAGGAA
rnacentral:lncRNA from 1 species